rnacentral:lncRNA from 1 species
GUUGUCGGUCGUCUAUUAAUUUUUUUCUUUUGUUGAUGGAUUUGACGUCUUUCUGUGAGUGAUUAUUUGUUCAUGACUUAAAACUUACUUGCAAAUAAUUUAAAAACAAGACUUGAUUUAUAAAAAUGUCCAAACAAACCAUGAUUUUUUUUAAACAUACAUCACAUCCAUUGCAAAAGGCUAAAAUUCGCCAGGUCUUUAAUUUCAACUAAGUGAGUUGACUAAAUUAAUGUUGCGGACCAUUUUCCAAUUUCCAUGCGGUAUCCCUAUUUUUUUUCUCGCUCAUCUUUUAUGUUUGUUUUUUUUUUUUCAUCCCAAGACCUCUUGGAGCUUUCAUUCUAUAAAGUGUGUAUUUUGCUAAUGGUCGAAGGCCAUACGGGGACCUAUAGCUUGAUAACGCCUGUUGGUCCCUGGAAAGAAUGUGUCUGAUUGCCUAUCACACUUCAUAUUCUUAUUUUAACAUGCAGUUAUAUCUAUGAUAAGAAUGAAAAUUGAAUUGUCAUUGAGACAAAAACCCAACCAAAGAGCAAAAAAAAAAAAAAAAAAAAGCCCAAGGCAACAUGUAGAUCUUUCGUAUCAAGGGAAUUGCUAUAAAAUAUAUUUAUUUCAGGUUAAUAGUAUUAGGCCAUACUCAAGUUAUAAAAUAGAUCUUGUCGUCAACUUUUGCAACCAGCUUCUAUGUUUCUAUAAUGCACUGUUCAUCUUUUUUG